AUGGGGGCGCGGUGGAUCCUGCCAAGGGCCGGCGGGAGGGCUCCGUUGUUAGUCGUUCCUUCAAGAUUUGUUAGGGUUUGUGUCCUACUCAGGAAGACAAGACGGCGGUGGCUCCCUGAAGAUGAAAUAAAGGUCUCCCCGCCUAGUCCCCGUUCCGGUGGUGCGUCUAGCAUCGUUGGUGGGUGUGUGGAGGUGUGUUCCCGGCGGAUCUAUCCUCGGUGGAUUUGCUCGGAUCUGGUUGUGGUUCGUCUAUGUUCGUGUGUCUUCAGGUUGGAUCCUUUCGAUCUAAGUUAUUCUUCAUCAGCAACGGUUGCUGUUCUGGUGUGCUGA
rnacentral:rRNA from 1 species